AUUUUAAAAUUUUAUUUAUUUGUAUUGCUAAAAAUUAGCAUGCCUGAUAAAAUAAUAAAACAGUGACACAUGACAUGCUACGUGUAUCUCAUGCUGAUAUACAAAGACCAGUUUUAAACAGUAAAAAUGAAUGAAAUUUUUAACA
rfam:Gossypium raimondii Chr12_contig_565, whole genome shotgun sequence.